rnacentral:rRNA from 1 species
CCUACGGGUGGCUGCAGUAGGGAAUUUUCCACAAUGGGCGAAAGCCUGAUGGAGCAACGCCGCGUGGGUGAAGAAGGUCUUCGGAUCGUAAAACCCUUUUGUUCGAGAAGAAAGUGCCUGAGAGUAACUGUUCACGUUUCUACGCUAUCUAACCAGAUAGCCACGGCUAACUACGUGCCAGCAGCCGCGGUAAUACGUAGGUGGCAAGCGUUAUCCGGAUUUAUUUGGCGUAAAGGGAACGCAGGCGGUCUUGUAAGUCUGAUGUGAAAGCCGUCGGCUUAACCGGAGUAGUGCAUUGGAAACUGGGAGACUUGAGUGCAGAAGAGGAGAGUGGAACUCCAGGUGUAGCGGGGAAAUGCGUAGAUAUAUGGAAGAACACCAGUGGCGAAGGCGGCUCUCUGGUCUGUAACUGACGCUGAGGUUCGAAAGCGUGGGUAGCAAACAGGAUUAGAUACCCGAGUAGUC